UGGGGAAUUUUGGGCAAUGGGGGAAACCCUGACCCAGCAACGCCGCGUGAAGGAUGAAGUAUUUCGGUAUGUAAACUUCGAAAGAAUAGGAAGAAUAAAUGACGGUACUAUUUAUAAGGUCCGGCUAACUACGUGCCAGCAGCCGCGGUAAUACGUAGGGACCAAGCGUUGUUCGGAUUUACUGGGCGUAAAGGGCGCGUAGGCGGCAUGACAAGUCACUUGUGAAAUCUCUGGGCUUAACCCAGAACGGCCAAGUGAUACUGUCGCGCUAGAGUGCAGAAGGUGCAAUCGGAAUUCUUGGUGUAGCGGUGAAAUGCGUAGAUAUCAAGAGGAACACCUGAGGUGAAGACGGGUUGCUGGGCUGACACUGACGCUGAGGCGCGAAAGCCAGGGGAGCAAACGGGAUUAGAUACCCACGUAGUCCCUGAGCGGGCUGGCAAGGCGCAU
rnacentral:rRNA from 1 species